AUUGUGUGCAAUCGCUGUAAUAUUUUAUUUUUAUAAGGUCUUAAACAAGAAUAAAUUCGUUUCUUGUGAGCUCGUAGUGCGAGUGCAGGAGAAGCCGCGCGGGCUCGCGCUGUCAAAAGAGCUGACGCAAAUCGUUCAUUUUCAAACUUCAACAGCUGAAAAACACCCACUUUUAGCUCUUGGUUUGUUCUAAUGGGUGGAUUGUGUGCAAUCGCUGUAAUAUUUUAUUUUUAAAAGGUCUUAAACAGGAAUAAAUUCGUUUGUUGUGAGCUCGCUGUGCGACUGCACGAGAAGCCGCGCCGUCUCGCGCUGUCAAAAGAGCUGACGCAAAUCCUUCAUUUUCCACACUUCAACAGCUGAAAAACACCCACUUUUAGCUCUUGGUUUGUUCUAAUGGGUGGAUUGUGUGCAAUCGCUGUAAUAUUUUAUUUUUAAAAGGUCUUAAACAAGAAUAAAUUCGUUUGUUGUGAGCCAGCUGUGAGACCACUCGCUGAACUAGCGGUGAAUUCUCUCUCGUCUUUCUCUCUGUUCUGUUGUCAGAUAUACAUUUUUAAUAAGCCCUGACCCCUGUAAUACUCAAAUAUGUUGGUUUAGCUUGUCAGAGUGAAAUAAAUUCAUGUAUUUAUAUGUAUUUUUAACCGAUUUAAAAGUGAAACUAAGGCAGACUCCUCCCUCAGUCCCGGG
ensembl:lncRNA